rnacentral:rRNA from 1 species
CCUACGGGAGGCAGCAGUGAGGAAUAUUGGUCAAUGGGAGGAAUCCUGAACCAGCCAUGCCGCGUGCAGGACGACGGCUCUACGAGUUGUAAACUGCUUUUGUACCGGGGUAAAAUGCUCUACGAGUAGGGUUUUGCAAGUACGGUACGAAUAAGGAUCGGCUAACUCCGUGCCAGCAGCCGCGGUAAUACGGAGGAUCCGAGCGUUAUCCGGAUUCAUUGGGUUUAAAGGGUGCGUAGGUUGUUUUAUAAGUUAGCGGUAAAAUACCGAUGCUCAACAUCGGGGCUGCCGCUGAUACUGUAGGACUAGAGAUCGGAUGCAGCAGGCGGAAUGUGGAGUGUAGCGGUGAAAUGAAUAGAUAUUACACAGAACACCGAUUGCGAAGGCAGCUGGCUAGGCCGGAUCUGACACUGAUGCACGAAAGCGUGGGGAUCGAACAGGAUUAGAUACCCUUGUAGU